AACAGGACGCUUGAUGAAAAGAUUGUUUUGAUGUAACAAAAUAUGUAAUAAAUAUUACUCCAGUUA
rnacentral:tRNA from 1 species